AUUGAACGCUGGCGGAAUGCUUUACACAUGCAAGUCGAACGGCAGCAUAGGUGCUUGCACCUGAUGGCGAGUGGCGAACGGGUGAGUAAUACAUCGGAACGUGCCCAGUCGUGGGGGAUAACGUAGCGAAAGUUACGCUAAUACCGCAUACGAUCUAAGGAUGAAAGCGGGGGACCGUAAGGCCUCGCGCGAUUGGAGCGGCCGAUGUCAGAUUAGGUAGUUGGGGAGGUAAAGGCUCACCAAGCCGACGAUCUGUAGCUGGUCUGAGAGGACGACCAGCCACACGGGGACUGAGACACGGCCCAGACUCCUACGGGAGGCAGCAGUGGGGAAUUUUGGACAAUGGACGCAAGUCUGAUCCAGCCAUUCCGCGUGCAGGACGAAGGCCUUCGGGUUGUAAACUGCUUUUGUACGGAACGAAAAAGCUCUUACUAAUACUAGGAGUCCAUGACGGUACCGUAAGAAUAAGCACCGGCUAACUACGUGCCAGCCGCCGCCGUAA
rnacentral:rRNA from 1 species